rnacentral:rRNA from 1 species
GACGAACGCUGGCGGCGUGCCUAAUACAUGCAAGUUGAGCGCUGAAGGUUGGUACUUGUACCGACUGGAUGAGCAGCGAACGGGUGAGUAACGCGUGGGGAAUCUGCCUUUGAGCGGGGGACAACAUUUGGAAACGAAUGCUAAUACCGCAUAAAAACUUUAAACACAAGUUUUAAGUUUGAAAGAUGCAAUUGCAUCACUCAAAGAUGAUCCCGCGUUGUAUUAGCUAGUUGGUGAGGUAAAGGCUCACCAAGGCGAUGAUACAUAGCCGACCUGAGAGGGUGAUCGACCACAUUGGGACUGAGACACGGCCCAAACUCCUACGGGAGGCAGCAGUAGGGAAUCUUCGGCAAUGGACGAAAGUCUGACCGAGCAACGCCGCGUGAGUGAAGAAGGUUUUCGGAUCGUAAAACUCUGUUGGUAGAGAAGAACGUUGGUGAGAGUGGAAAGCUCAUCAAGUGACGGUAACUACCCAGAAAGCGACGGCUAACUACGUG